rnacentral:antisense_RNA from 1 species
UGUUAUGGCGGGUCAUUCAGGGGCUCUUCGGAGCGCCGGUUCUCUGUGGCCGGUAAGGCUAACCCUGUUUGGCCUGCCACCCAA